rnacentral:rRNA from 1 species
UCGAGCGGCGAACGGGUGAGUAACGCGUGGAUAACCUGCCCAGAGGUGGGGGAUAACCCGGGGAAACUCGGGCUAAUACCGCAUAUGACCGUGAGGUCAAAGGCGGCUCGCAAGAGCUGUCGCCAUUGGAGGGGUCCGCGUACGAUUAGCUAGUUGGUAGGGUAAUGGCCUACCAAGGCGACGAUCGUUAGCCGGCCUGAGAGGGUGAUCGGCCACACUGGAACUGAGACACGGUCCAG